rnacentral:rRNA from 1 species
AUGCGCCUCAAGGCCGUGUACCAGCGCAUCGUGGACAACUUCCUCGCCGUUGUCACCGCCGCCAUCUCCAGUUACUCUCUCGUCGCCCUGGUGCGGCUCGGACCAGCAGAGCUCAUCAGCUGGCUCCGUGAGCUCCAGCUUCAGCCAGCGCACCUCUUCUUGGCGGGGUUCGUCCCGGCCGCAGCGGCCACCGUGUACCUCAUGCUUCGGCCGCGUGCGGUGUACCUCAUCGACUACGCCUGCUUCCACUCCUCCUCCAACCGCCCGCUCGCCCGCAUCCCCAUGGCCUCCUUCGUCGAGCACACCAAGCAUACGCCCACCAUCGACGCCCGCAGCGUCCGGUUCAUGUCGCGGCUGCUGCAGCGCUCCGGGCUCGGGGAGGAGACAUGCCUGCCGGCGGCGCACAACUACGUCCCCACGCACGAGUACUGCACCCUCGAGAACGCACGCGACGAGUUCGAGCUCGUCGUCUUCUCGGCCAUCGACGACCUGCUCGCCAAGACCGGCGUCGCCCCAGACACCAUCGGCACACUCGUCCUCAACUGCAGCCUCUUCUGCCCCACGCCGUCCUUGGUCGACAUCAUCGUUAACAAGUACAACCUGCGCAGCGACAUCCGCAGCAUCAACCUCUCCGGCAUGGGUUGCAGUGCGGGGCUGAUCGCCGCGGGGCUUGCCAGGACCCUCCUGCAGGUUCUUCCCCGAGGCGCCUGCGCGCUGGUCGUCUCCACGGAGACCAUCACGCCGAACUACUACGUCGGCAACGAGCGCGCCAUGCUCCUGCCCAACUGCCUAUUCCGCGUCGGCGGAGUGGCCGCGCUGCUGUCGACGUCCCCCAUGAAUGCCCGGUUCCGCCUAAAGCACGUUGUGCGCACCUUCACGGGCGCGAACGACGACGGUGCCUACCGGUGCGUGUUCCAAGAGGAGGACGACCAAGGGAACGUCGGGAUCAACCUCAGCAAGAACCUGAUGGUUGUCGCAGGGAGCUCGCUCCAGGCCAACAUCACUGAGAUCGGGCCGCUCGUCCUGCCGGCAUCCGAGCAGCUUCUCUUCGUCCUCUCCUUCAUCGCACGCAAGGUGCUUGGCGCGCGCAUCAAGCCCUACAUCCCGGACUUCUCCACGGCGUUCGAGCACAUGUGCAUUCACGCCGGCGGCCGUGCCGUCAUAGACCAGUUGCAGAAAAAGCUCCGCCUCUCCGACCAGCAGGUGGAGGCGUCGCGGAUGACACUGCACCGGUUCGGAAACACGUCGAGUAGCUCGCUGUGGUACGAGCUCGCCUACGUCGAGGCCAAAGGCCGGAUGCGCAAGGGCGACCGCGUUUGGAUGAUCGGCUUCGGCUCAGGGUUCAAGUGCAACAGCGUGGUGUGGGAGUGCAUCCAACCAGCUGCCCGCGACACCGAUGGGCCAUGGACCACGUCUAUCCACAGGUAUCCGGUGGACAUUCCCGACGUGCUAAAAUAA